AGUUACUAAAGUUAGUGCUGCAGCUUUAAGCAGAGGUUCGGUGUGAGAGUUCACUACCAAGUGGAGCAAAAACGGCGCUACGUCUGUGAAAUAUUACUACCAGUAGCGCUUAGCGGCGGUUCAACAACUAGAACAGAACCUGCGUCUUACACCACCAGCUCGAAUACUUACAUUAUUUUUCAGGUUAUUUGUUUAGCUUUCUGACCGUGAUGCUAAUCCGGGUGAGUGUCGGUAGUUGUGUGCUGCUUUACCGGCCGGAUGUCYUUUUUUCCUGCGUYGAGCCUCGAUGUAGCCAAACUCCGUCAAGUGCUUGUUUUUUAAAUGUUACAUUAGAUUCGUUGUGUUGAUCCAUUUUGACGUGCUUCACCCCCGAGGUAAAUUUCCACCGCGACACGCAAACUUCCCCUUUCACUCUCAGCGCUAUAGUUCCACACCAUAUUGCUUGGGAUUUGUUGCCGUGCGCCUGCGCAGUGUGAAGGAAAGAGGAAACCGCUGCACGCGCAGGCUGCGAAUGAGAUGCAGGUGAUUGACAACGAGAGACUGAUCGGAGAUCACCGAUCAUUCACUUUUUCACGGAAAUCGGCCGAUUAUGAUCUGUGGCCGAUCGAUCGGCACACUUCUAGUUUCUACAUAUCCUAAAAUCGGGAGUAGCUCUUGAUUUUACUUUGAUGCUAAAGUAUUAAAUGAGUAGGAAGGAGAUUUUGGAGUGCUAUUUACUUCAGACUAUCUAUUGUCAUGCAAUCAGCAAAUGCAAUCAGAUAUGCAUCGGGAGAGAACUGAGACCUUUUGCCCUCCGUCAUCCCAACACAAAUGCAUUAUAUGAAAUGGGGAUGCGCCACACACAAUACAUACUAAUAAGGUAUAACAAGUUUCUAAUUUUCAGAAUACAUGCUGCAUUUCUUCAUGUCUUGGACCAACGCGUUUUUAGAUAAGCCAACAUAUUUGGUAAGAUAAGGAACAUUGACAGUAGCCUGAAGAUGCUUCUCUUCCCUUCAGUAAAUUAAACUUCAAUACACCAUGUUACUGUGGAGGCUGGUUUUUUUCAUGCAUGUGAAUUUCUGAUACCAUUUUUUCCAACACUUUUUUGGGGAGAACUUCAAUUUUUGCUUCUUGAUCCAUGUUUUUCCUGUUAAUGUAUACGUCACAGAGUUCCACUGCAGAUUCUGUUCACGUCAGCCCUCUUUCCUUUCCCUGUCGACGAGGUCUGGUGUAGAGCCUGAAAGGAAGCAUCUCUCUCCGCCGCGAUUUAGUCAUCUCAGAGGGACAGCAGCAGGAACAUUCUCUCUCUCCAAUAGACCUGCAAAGAAAAGAACCUGGGUUUCAGCAUUUCUCCAAUCAAGAUUAUUCGCUAAGAUUCAUCCAUCACUCAUGUAAAGCACUUUGAAUUGCCUUGUUGC